rnacentral:lncRNA from 1 species
UUUUCCAGAGUGGGGUAUGCAUGACACUCGAAGUCAGGAAUCGUCCUCUCUGACUCUUCAACCUUACUCACCAAGGUGGAUCUUGCUGAGGACUCUGCCUGCUUUUACAGUCAGGCCAGAAGGUCCACUCAAUAUUUAUGUUUCUGAAGAUCCAAAUUCUGGUCCUCACUUCUGAGUGGCAAGUGUUUUAACUACUGAGUUAUCUCCUUAGCGCUUUCUCUCAAUCUCCCCCCCCCCCCAAGUGUCUUGUGUACCAUACUCAGCUUCUGACUCUCUGGCUUUAUCUGCUUUGAACUACAGACUCAACUAUAAUGAACUAUAUUGUUGUCUUAUCCCCCUCAAAUCCAAUAACCCCAGGUUUGUAUAAGGCUACACUGGCCUGCUCCCAGGUUCCUUUUCUACGUCCAUGAAGCUUGUGAAUGGACCACUGAGCUCUGUCACAUCCCACUCAUAGGUUAAGUCAGGUCAGGCCGCUGGGGCUGAGUCCUAGCUCAGGACUUUAUUAAUGCGGUGUGAUCAGUAUGACCUGAGCCUUUCUGAUCUUAUUCCUCAUCUACUGAAUGGAUCUCAGAUGCCGAUCUCAUUUGGUUGGGAGAAAAGGAAGUGGCUUCCCGGCAAUGGUGGAACCCGGAAGCCGGCAGACUUUGCCAUUUCCAGCUGUGUGGUGCUGUAGAAGCACGAGGGGGUCUUGAGUCACAUUCGCAUUGGUUUUUAUAUUUCCUCUGCCUAGACUGGAACAUGCUGUGGCCUGCUGUAACCUCAGAAACAUCU